UAAUAAUUUUCCCAUUAAUAAUUCUCUUUCGUUUCUAAUUUAAUAGAAUUUAAUUGGCCACCCAUAAAAGGAUUUUAAAUACUUCUAACUGAAAUUCUAAGGUGUAGAAGAAAAAUAUGGCAGGUAGGUAGCUCAAGAUUUUAAAAUGUGCACAUGCAAUAAUAGAAAAUCCAGGUAUCUUGGCUCAAGAUAACAUGAGUUGAAGGCAACGAAGUGUGGUUCCAUCGAGUUUAGUGAAACUUAAAA
rnacentral:misc_RNA from 1 species